rnacentral:rRNA from 1 species
UGCACUCGCGAGGCGCAGCAAACACUGGUUUUUAGAAUUAGCGCAUGCAUGUCGGUCUGGCGUCCGAGUCCUUCUGAUCGGGGCCGCCAGAGCGGGUGUCAGCCCUCUACGGCGACGGACCGACUCGCCCGCCACAUCCUCGGAGUCGGGUUGUUUGAUAAUGCAGCCCAAAGCUGGUGGUAAACUCCAUCUAAGGCUAAAUACGGACAUGAGUCCGAUAGCGAACAAGUACUGUGAGGGAAAGUUGGAAAGAACUUUGAAGAGAGAGUUCAACAGUACGUGGAACCGUUUAGAGACAAACGAAGAGAACCGCAAGGUCCGCCCGUCGGAUUCAACACGCCGGUCGGGUGGCCGGCGCGUCGUCGCAUCCGCAAGGGGCGUGGCGCAUCGGAUCGCUCGGUCGACGGGUGCAUUUUCGACGGGCGAAACGCCAUGACCGGUUCGUCAGCGGUCAGAAGCCUCCGAAGAACGUGGCCGAUCCCGCAAGGGUUCGGUGUUAUAGACGCGGAAGGCGUUGGCCCGUCGGCGGACCGAGGAAGACUUUGUCGCGGCCGGCAGCGGUACCGCGGUUCCGUGCGACCGUUCGAAAUGCGGGGACUGUCGUCAGUGCCCGCUAACCGCGGACGUACGGCGAUCGCGGGAUCCGGUGUCGGCUCGGGGUUGAUAGCGAAUCGGUCGGUCACCUGUCCGACCCGUCUUGAAACACGGACCAAGGAGUCUAACAUGUGCGCGAGUCAUUGGGUGUUACGAAACCUAGAGGCGCAGUGAAAGCAAAGAUCGGUCUUUUGGUCGACUCGGGUAGGAUCCUCGGUUGUCAGUGGCCGGGGCGCACUACCGGCCCGUCUCGUCCACAGCGUCGGUGAGGCAGAGCAAGAGCGUACACAUUAGGACCCGCAAGAUGGUGAACUAUGCCUGAGUAGGACGAAGCCAGAGGAAACUCUGGUGGAGGUCCGCAGCGAUUCUGACUUGCAGAUCGAUCGUCAAACUCGGGUGUAGGGGCGAAAGACUAAUCGAACCAUCUAGUAGCUGGUUCCUGCAGAAGUUUCCCUCAGGAUAGCUGGCGCUUCGUGCAGUUUUAUCCGGUGAAGCGAAUGAUUAGAGGCAUUGGGGACGAAACGACCUCAACCUAUUCUCAAACUUUGAAUGGGUAAGAAGUCCGACUCGCUCGAUUGGAGCCGGGCAGCGAAUGCAAGUGCCAAGUGGGCCUCUUUUGGUAAGCAGAACUGGCGCUGUGGGAU